rnacentral:rRNA from 1 species
AGAGUUUGAUCCUGGCUCAGGACGAACGCUGGCGGCGGGCUUAACACAUGCAAGUCGCGGGAGAAUCCCGAGCUUCGGUUCGGGAGGAGACCGGCGGAUGGGUGAGUAACGCGUAGGCAACCUGCCUUGAUCAGGAGGAUAACCCCUCGAAAGGGGAGCUAAUACUCCAUAAUGCAGCGGCCCCGCAUGGGGAGCGUUGUUAAAUCCGCCCUUUGGCGGAGGAUCAAGAGGGGCCUGCGUGCCAUUAGCUAGUUGGUGCGGUAAAGGCGCACCAAGGCGAUGAUGGCUAGGGGGUCUGAGAGGAUGAUCCCCCACACUGGGGCUGAGACACGGCCCAGACUCCUACGGGAGGCAGCAGUGAGGAAUCUUGCGCAAUGGGGGCAACCCUGACGCGGCCACGCCGCGUGCUGGAAGACGGCCCUAUGGGUUGUAAACAGCUUUUAAGUGGGAAGAACCCGGCCCUUUCGAGGGCCGCUGACGGUACCACCAGAAUAAGCACCGGCUAACUCCGUGCCAGCAGCCGCGGUAAUACGGAGGGUGCAAGCGUUGUCCGGAAUUAUUGGGUGUAAAGGGUGCGCAGGCGGAAACUUGCGUCGAGGGUGAAAUUUUGCCGCUUAACGGUAAAAGUGCCUUCGAUACGGGGUUUCUUGAGUCCGGAAGAGGUUGGUGGAAUUCGUGGUGUAGCGGUGAAAUGCAUAGAGAUCACGAAGAACACCGGUGGCGAAGGCGGCCAACUGGUCCGGCACUGACGCUGAGGCACGAGAGCGUGGGGAGCGAACAGGAUUAGAUACCCUGGUAGUCCCACGCUGUAAACGAUGUAUGCUAGUUGUUGUCCCUUAGGGGGCAGUGACGCAGUUAACGCGCUAAGCAUACCACCUGGGGAGUACGUUCGCAAGAAUGAAACUCAAAGGAAUUGACGGGGGCCCGCACAAGCGGUGGAGCAUGUGGCUUAAUUCGAUGCAACGCGAAGAACCUUACCUGGGCUAAAUCCAUAGCGACAGGCCGGGAAACCGGUCCUCCCUUCGGGGCGCUUUGGAAGGUGCUGCAUGGCUGUCGUCAGCUCGUGCCGUGAGGUGUUGCCUUAAGUGGCGCAACGAGCGCAACCCCUGUGGUUAGUUACCAGCGCGUAAUGGCGGGGACUCUAGCCAGACUGCCUACGCAAGUAGUGAGGAAGGUGGGGACGACGUCAAGUCAUCAUGGCCCUUACGUCCAGGGCUGCACACGUGCUACAAUGGAUGGUCCAAUGGGAAGCGACCGCGCGAGCGGAAGCGGAUCCCCAAAACCAUUCCCAGUUUGGAUUGGAGUCUGCAACUCGACUCCAUGAAGGUGGAAUCGCUAGUAAUCGCGUAUCAGCAAUGGCGCGGUGGAUACGUUCCCGGGCCUUGUACACACCGCCCGUCAAGCGAUGGAAGCCGGGAGUACCUGAUGCAGGCGUGCCAAUCCGCCAUCCGGCGGAAGGCAGCUUGUUAGGGUAAGCCCUGUGACUGGCGCUAAGUCGUAACAAGGUA